UACGUAGGGUCCGAGCGUUGUCCGGAAUUACUGGGCGUAAAGGGCUCGUAGGUGGCCAAUUAAGUCAGACGUGAAAUCCCUCGGCUUAACCGGGGAACUGCGUCUGAUACUGGAUGGCUUGAGUUCGGGAGAGGGAUGCGGAAUUCCAGGUGUAGCGGUGAAAUGCGUAGAUAUCUGGAGGAACACCGGUGGCGAAGGCGGCAUCCUGGACCGACACUGACACUGAGGAGCGAAAGCCAGGGGAGCAAACGGG
rnacentral:rRNA from 1 species